CGCAGUGGCGGACGGGUGAGGAGCGCGUAAGGACCUGCCCCUGGGAGGGGGAUAACAGCUGGAAACGGCUGCUAAUACCCCAUAGCCUGAGGAGGGAAAGGAGAGAUCCGCCCAGGGAGGGGCUUGCGUCUGAUUAGCUAGUUGGGGGGGGUAAUGGCCUCCCAAGGCAACGAUCAGUAGCUGGUCUGAGAGGACGAGCAGCCACACUGGGAUUGAGAACGGCCCAG
rnacentral:rRNA from 1 species